GAAAGUUCGAAACCUCAAAA
rnacentral:snRNA from 1 species